rnacentral:misc_RNA from 1 species
UUUUAUUUUGAUUCGGGAUUUUCUUUUAUUUUUUAGCACUAAUAUCAACUAAUGCUAUUAUUGUAUCAAACAGAAGCAACUGAACUUACUAUUUUUCAAAUGCAAUUUUUAUUUCUAGGUUUGUUGGCUGGAGAAGUCUUGAUCCUAAAAGAAAUGGGGAUGGACAUGAAACAAGUACACAUAAUAACAAUAUAUGUAAUGAGUAAUUAAAUACAAUUGACCUAGUCUUGCCUACUCUACUCAGUUCCCUAUCCUAUUUAUAUGUAACCAUUUCAUCUAACCAAACAAAAGAAAAUGUCAUUUAACAAUUGAAAACUCAUUUGCCAAAAUUUAUUCUUACCAUUUUCAAAUUUUCCCAUAUAAUGGCGCACAUAGAAAAUAAAUCCUUCACCACCUUGAAUUCUUUUAUGAAAAUUGAGCCCUAUAAAGAGCUUUCUUUACUCCCUGCUAGCUGCCACAAAUUAGUUUGUUCAGUUGGAAGCUAAAGUGUGAUAAAGCUUAAAAUGUUGCAACAAAUCUAGAAUUAUUUUUUUGGAGGGCCAAAUUUAAAAAUUCUAUAACUUAUUUCCUGAAAGAUCUAUAACAAAUUAUACUGAAA